GUUCUAUGAAGGACUGAACGCAAGUAAGAAUACUUUUUUAAGUUGUUUCUCAUCGCCUUAGGCAUAAAGCCAAUUCCAUCUCUAUCUGGCCACUCCGUGACUCCAAGACCAGAGACAAAAGGAAUCAUGUCUAUUUCAGUUAAGGGGCCUGUUAAGUCAUCAAGUAAAUGCUCUUUCCGGGCCUAGCAACAUCUUCGAAUCGGUUGUAAUCAACCAAUUCAGAAUGCCUUUUAUGAAAGGUACUAUUUGAAGAGCAGCUCCAUGAACUUAGCGCUAGCUGCAGUACUAUUAUAUUAGAGACCGAAAUCGCUACAUCAAAAAAAUAGGUAUAGCCAAACAGAAGGUUCUUUUCUUGGCUUUCUUGCCCUAUCGGUCAGAUCAGGUGAAAGCAAGCAAAUAAACGAUAGGUAAACUUAUUCAACGGCCGCUUGCGCACCAAGACUAAAGGAGGGUUCCGGAUAGCCAUCAUAAGACCGCUUACCUUAUAUUCCGCUACCAAAGAAAAAGGACUUCCUUUCGCAAUCGAACCUCUAGAAGCAAGGUUGCGAAGCCGGGGUAUUAUGUAUCAGCUGAAAACGAAGUGGAUGACUCUCUUUUAGUUGACUUUGGAAUUUGACCAGUCUACAUCGUCCGCCCCGAAAACUAAGUAGCUCACUAGUGCCAGCCAAAGGCUUCUUUUUGACCUUUCUUGCGGAUGUCCUAAUCAGUUUCUCUGAGGCUCUCAAGCUGAGAGAAAGUGUUUGGAUGAUUUUUGCAUGGUUUCAGGGCGCUUUGAGAAAUAGAAUAUCUUAUGUUCUCCUAAUAUCGAUAGGCAAGUUGCUUAUUUCUGUGUGCUCUAGGCUUGACAAGCUAAACAGUAAAAACUUUUUUUGGUAAAAAUAAGAGGAAGAUCCAUCUUGCUAAUUAGGGAUUUGGUGUGUAGACCAAAAGGUAUGGGCGCCGGAGUUUCCUCUCGUUGAGAUUUUGGCAAUCUCGUGCGGGUUGAAGCAAGCAUUAGAUAUGGGCCUUUCUUCUCUGAUGCUGG
rnacentral:lncRNA from 1 species